AUGGCUAGGAGUUUGCAUGUGUUGAAAAACCCUACGGUCCUCUUGAAGCUCGAUAUCUGUAAGGCAUUUGACCCGGCUCAAUGGUCGUUUCUUCUGGAGGUAAUGGAGCAGCUCGGUUUUGGUCCAAGGUGGAGAGCAUGGGUGUGUGGAAUUCUGGCCACAUCGACCACAAGGGUCAUGCUAAACGGCGAGCCUGGCGACACCAUCUACAACUGCAAUGGCUUGCGCCAAUGUGACCCCGUAUCACCGAUGCUUUUUAUACUGACUAUGGAGCCAUUGCAAAGAUUGUUUGAUUGGGCCGCGGGCAGAGGGCUCUUGCGACCUCUGGUGACAACUGGAAUGAUGAAAAGGAUCUCUAUUUUUGCAGAUGAUGUGGUCUUGUUUGUAAAGCUGGAGCCAAUGGACCUUGUGAUUUGUAAAUGCAUCUUUGAUCUGUUUGGGGAGGCGUCAGGACUACACAUUAAUAUGAGAAAAUCAGUGCUAUUGUCGAUACGAUGCUCGGACCAAAGCAUCAAUAUGGCUAGCGCUGAGCUUGGGUGCCCGGUGGGCUCUUUCCCGGUUCGAUAUCUUGGAUUACCGCUGUCCUUAAGAAAGCAAUCAGCUACACAACUUCAAUAUCUUGUAGAUCAGAUGGCGAACCGGUUGCCGAAGUGGAAGGCUUCUCAUAUGCCAAAUUGGUUCAUUCUGUCUUGUGCGCAAUGCACAUACAUGCUAUGA
rnacentral:rRNA from 1 species